UACGGAAGGCAGCAGUGGGGAAUCUUGCGCAAUGGGCGAAAGCCUGACGCAGCCAUGCCGCGUGAAUGAUGAAGGUCUUAGGAUUGUAAAAUUCUUUCACCGGGGACGAUAAUGACGGUACCCGGAGAAGAAGCCCCGGCUAACUUCGUGCCAGCAGCCGCGGUAAUACGAAGGGGCUAGCGUUGCUCGGAAUUACUGGGCGUAAAGGGAGCGUAGGCGGACAUUUAAGUCAGGGGUGAAAUCCCGGGGCUCAACCUCGGAAUUGCCUUUGAUACUGGGUGUCUUGAGUAUGAGAGAGGUGUGUGGAACUCCGAGUGUAGAGGUGAAAUUCGUAGAUAUUCGGAAGAACACCAGUGGCGAAGGCGACACACUGGCUCAUUACUGACGCUGAGGCUCGAAAGCGUGGGGAGCAAACAGGGAUUAGGAUACC
rnacentral:rRNA from 1 species